UUUAAGGAAUUCGGCUAAAUGCCCCCGUAACUUCGGGAGAAGGGGGGCCCGGAACCUGAAGUGACUUGCUCACUAGGGUGAAGGGCCGCAGAGACCAGGGAGAAGCGACUGUUUACUAAAAACACAGGCCCGUGCGAAGUCGCAAGACGAUGUAUACGGACUGACGCCUGCCCGGUGCUGGAAGGUUAAGAGGACCUGUUAGACCGUAAGGCCGAAGCUGAGAAUUUAAGCCCCAGUAAACGGCGGUGGUAACUAUAACCAUCCUAAGGUAGCGAAAUUCCUUGUCGGGUAAGUUCCGACCUGCACGAAUGGCGUAACGACUUCUCCACUGUCUCAACCGCGAACUCGGCGAAAUUGCACUACGAGUAAAGAUGCUCGUUACGCGCAGCAGGACGGAAAGACCACGGGACCUUUACUAUAGCUUGGUAUUGGUGUUCGGUACGGCUUGUGUAGGAUAGGUGGGAGACUGUGAAGCAUGCACGCCAGUGUGUGUGGGGUCAACGUUGAAAUACCACUCUGGUCGUUCUGGAUAUCUAACCUCGGUCCGUGAUCCGGAUCAGGGACAGUGCCUGGUGGGUAGUUUAACUGGGGCGGUUGCCUCCUAAAAGGUAACGGAGGCGCUCAAAGGUUCCCUCAGCCUGGUUGGCAAUCAGGUUUCGAGUGUAAGUGCACAAGGGAGCUUGACUGCGAGAGAGACAUCUCGAGCAGGGACGAAAGUCGGAACUAGUGACCCGGCGGUGGCUUGUGGAAGCGCCGUCGCUCAACGGAUAAAAGGUACCCCGGGGAUAACAGGCUGAUCUUGCCCAAGAGUCCAUAUCGACGGCAUGGUUUGGCACCUCGAUGUCAGCUCGUCGCAUCCUGGGGGUGGAGUUGCUCCCAAGGGUUGGGCUGUUCGCCCAUUAAAGCGGUACGCGAGCUGGGUUUAGAACGUCGUGAGACAGUUCGGUCCCUAUCCGCUGUGCGCGUAGGAAACUUGAGAAGGGCUGACCCUAUACGAGAGGACCGGGCUGGGCGAACCUCUGGUGUGUCAGUUGUCCUGCCAAGGGCACCGCUGAUUAGCUACGUUCGGAAGUGAUAACCGCUGAAAGCAUCUAAGCGGGAAGCACGCUUCAAGAUGAGGUUUCCAUGCACCGUUAGGUGUGAGAGGCUCCCGGCUAGACUACCGGGUUGAUAGGCCAGACGUGGAAGUGCAGCAAUGCAUGUAGCUGACUGGUACUAAUAAGCCGACAACUUGAU
rnacentral:rRNA from 1 species